GGGGUUAUAGCUCAGUGGUAGAGCGCGUACCUGGCAUGUGUGAGGCCCUGGGUUUGAUUCUCAGAGCCACA
rnacentral:tRNA from 1 species